rnacentral:rRNA from 1 species
CCUACGGGAGGCAGCAGUGGGGAAUUUUGGACAAUGGGCGAAAGCCUGAUCCAGCAAUGCCGCGUGAGUGAAGAAGGCCUUCGGGUUGUAAAGCUCUUUUGUCAGGGAAGAAACGGUGAGGGCUAAUAUCCCUUGCUAAUGACGGUACCUGAAGAAUAAGCACCGGCUAACUACGUGCCAGCAGCCGCGGUAAUACGUAGGGUGCAAGCGUUAAUCGGAAUUACUGGGCGUAAAGCGUGCGCAGGCGGUUUUGUAAGUCUGUCGUGAAAUCCCCGGGCUCAACCUGGGAAUUGCGAUGGAGACUGCAAGGCUAGAAUCUGGCAGAGGGGGGUAGAAUUCCACGUGUAGCAGUGAAAUGCGUAGAGAUGUGGAGGAACACCGAUGGCGAAGGCAGCCCCCUGGGUCAAGAUUGACGCUCAUGCACGAAAGCGUGGGGAGCAAACAGGAUUAGAUACCCUGGUAGUCCACGCCCUAAACGAUGUCUACUAGUUGUCGGGUUUUAAUUAACUUGGUAACGCAGCUAACGCGUGAAGUAGACCGCCUGGGGAGUACGGUCGCAAGAUUAAAACUUCAAAAUGAAAUUGAACGG